AAGGGAGACCUAAUUCAGGUAGGAGACGAAAAAAAAGUAGUCGCUACCAAGAAUCAAUCCCAAAAGGUCGGAGCGAGGCGAAAUUGGCUUUCAAACUAGGUUCUGGGUUCACACAAGACCUGGAUCAGGAACAAGGGCUAUUAGCUCAGGUGGUUAGAGCGCACCCCUGAUAAGGGUGAGGUCCCUGGUUCGAGUCCAGGAUGGCCCACCUGUACAGGUGGCAAAAAGAAAGAAAAGAAGCGAGGAAUCAGCACCUUAUCUUACUGACAUAGUAAGAGAGAAUGCUGGCUCUGAGUAAAGAGUCCAGAGGAACCUUGAAAACUGCAUAGAGCUAGGUGAAAAAGCCAAAAAAGAAGACCGCAA
rnacentral:tRNA from 1 species